GACAGUUCUUGCUAACACUUCUUUCUACGAUACUUAGGUUGCAAAUAAGUCAUGUGAGGCUAGAAACUCAUUAGGUAACCAUUUGUUUAAUUAUCCUCUUUUGUACAUGAAAAAAAGCUUGAUUGAUUUAGAAAGAAGCUUGAUGGGGUUUCAUGUACAAGGCAAAUCAUUAUUGAACUCCACUAUAUAUCCUGAAUUUAGGUACCUUUUUAUGGGGUUCUGAUUUUAGUUUUACUAUAUAUAUUCUUUCACGAUUGCGCUUAAUAUAUAUAUUAUCUUGUAUUUACGUGUUUCUCCACGUCUGCGUUUCUUAUAUUUUUGAAAAUGC
rnacentral:misc_RNA from 1 species